AGCAGCAGCCGCGGUAAUACGGAGGAUCCAAGCGUUAUCCGGAUUUAUUGGGUUUAAAGGGUGCGUAGGUGGCCUGUUAAGUCAGGGGUGAAAGACGGUAGCUCAACUAUCGCAGUGCCCUUGAUACUGAUGGGCUUGAAUGAACUAGAGGUAGGCGGAAUGUGACAAGUAGCGGUGAAAUGCAUAGAUAUGUCACAGAACACCAAUUGCGAAGGCAGCUUACUAUGGUUUUAUUGACACUGAGGCACGAAAGCGUGGGGAUCAAACAGGAUUAGAUACCCCAGUAGUCCCUGUCUCUUAUAA
rnacentral:rRNA from 1 species